GGGCCCGUCCGUCCCCCGUCGGCACCGCGCCAUCAUCCGCAGUCGCCGUUCGGACGGGAGCCAGCUGGGAACGCGGUCGUCUCUCUGUCGCUCUGUGCGUUCGUCGAUUAAAUGUUUCCCGUUCGUUUCUCGGCGCUUCUGCCCGCGGUCGUUUCUGCAGCUCCAGUAACCCACCCCGUCCCCGUGCCCUCCGCCGGGUAAGGACGGGGCGGCGCAAACGGAAGAGAUUAAGACUGGCUGCACAGUUUUGAAAACCCUGCUCUGCAGGGCAGCUGCACUAUAAUGUCCUGCUGACACGAAUCCUGAACUUGUCUGCCCUCAGAAAGUCUUCCUGGAUGUUCCUAGAAGGUUGCUAAUAUUCCUGGCGCUGUUGGCCUAGCUGAAAACUCCCACUAGCUUAGCAAGACUGUCUUCUUAUUUUCCAUAUGAAAGAGCUGGAUUAGUAUUUUUCUUGCUCUCUUUUUUGGAUUUUUCUAACAAUCUCAAAAUCCUGUGAAUCAUGGCUUCCUCACAGCUUUCACACCUGUUCAGUGACUCUGUGUAUUUAUGCAUUUAUACAUGAAAUGGGCUUUAUUUGUUUCUGCAAUGUUGUUUUCACCUAACAUAUGUUUUAGUCUGGGAGUUAAAUCUGAGUUGUUUAUUUACUGCUAUGAUAAUGCUGAGGAUCUGCUCGAGGCACUGCAGCAGUGCAGUGCACACUUAUGCUCUCAAAUUCCAGGGCCCCCAUCCCAAGUGAUAAUGCAGAUAAUCUGGGGCCUUCUUAAAUUCCAGCACCUUUCAGAGGCUGGCUUACCCACAGCAUGCUCUGCACACCACUGUUUAGAUAUGCACACAAAAAAGCUGGGCAUCUGCAAGGCUGAAAACGAGUCUUUCGGUGCUUAUUAAUUUUGCUCCAGGCCUUUUACAUUAGUAAAGUAUUCAGAAGGAAGGGCCAAAAUACAAAGCUGCCACCACUUUCUCUAAUUAAUGCAUGCGAAGCUUCACAUCUCUAAUUACUGAGCAGUGUGUGCUGUGCAAAUAAAAAGCCCAGAGUCCAGAGGAUGUGUAAGGAACUCCGAGCUCUGCACUCCCUGUGCACGUGCAGUCUGGCAAAAUAAACUUCUGGCAUUCGCUGUUCAGAAGUGCAGUGUGCCUGAAGCAAAGUCCUUGCAAUUCACUUCUAUUCAGCGAAGGAUUCUUCACCUAUUUGAACAACUUGAAACAUUUUAGAGUCGUGGAACACUUUUGAAAAAGGAAGGUCUUUCACAUUGAUAUUCAUGCCUAUUUAGAUUAUCGAUUUUCCACCCAAGCUCAGCUAUUGAUGGUUAUGCCUGAGUAAGCCAUAAAAAUCAGGUCUUUACUGGAGACAUCCCAUGCCAAAUAUUGUUGCUGUGCUGUUUUUAUUUUCUAUAGGUAGGAUGCCGCUGCAUUUACAGUGCAAUCAAAUGAGAAUGUGACAGAGACUCUGUAAGUGGUGGAUUUUGCUUCCUUUCUAAAUGUUUCAUAAUCAGCCUGAAGUGCAUUGCCAAACACUUCAUUCCAAGAGCUCAUCUUAAUUGCUGCAUGGAAUCUUAUUACAUGUCCUUGCUGUGAUCCAUCGGUGCCACAGAACAAAUAAAUUUCUGUUAGGUGCUGGCAACCAUUGAUUCUUAUUUUGGUUGCAGGGAUCAAAAUUUUUCACAGUUAAAGGGACAGAAUCACCACGUGCUCCAGAAGAGCUGAAGUGAAUGAACAUCGAGGCAUGUGAGUGGCUGAGAAAUGGAGUUGGGGCUCAGGGGAGCAAUUGAGCAAUGGGUGCCUGUGUCACAACCUUCCUGAGCGGCCCUUGCAAGCUCCUGCUCCCCUCGCCUGCAAGCAGAGCAAUGCUCAAGUUGGAGGAAUCUUUUCCUCGGCAGGCGGUAAAAGACAACGCAGCUGCAAGUUUCGUGUCCUUCGUUGUCAUUGGAAAGCAGCCUCCUUGAGAGCAGGAGAGCAGCAGGCUGCCUGCUGUGUGGUGCUGAAGGGCAUUUCUCCCAGCUGAGAUCCCCGAGCCCACGCUGGCGGAGAACGUGCUGUGCCACCAUCUCUUCUGUGGAGCCACUUUGCAGCUGCUCUGUGCGCUGGCCGUAAUCGUGCCAGUUUCCAGGUGCCAUAAGCCAGUAAGUUGUGCUCUCUGAGGCUGAUAGAAAGGCAUGGGCAAUGGGCAGGGAGGGAACAAUCUGUAGCUGUGGCCUACGGUGCUGUGCCCAGCACUGCUGAGAGUGCCGUCGUUUGUCCUGCCCUUCCUUCCGUGUGCGCGUGUUCCUGAUGCACACCAGGAGCCUUGGGGUGCAAGCUCUGCUGCUGCUGCUGCUGUGCUGUGUGUGCUGCCAGGCAGUGUCCAAGCCCUGUGCAGGCGCUGCCUUGCAGGAGAUGGCUUUGGGUUCGAGUUCGUAUGGGACUUUUGGGAAGGAGAUUGAGGUGGAGUUUCUGGCGUGCCCUGAUGCCAGGAAGGCGGUUUCCAGUGCUGGCAGCCACAGCUGUCCGGGCGGUGACUUGAGCUCCCCAAGCGAGCUGUCAGCCACUUGUUACCUGUGAAGGUUCCCUGACCGUUUGUGCCUUGAUUCUUGUAGGACUGGCACAGUCUUGACACUCAGUCUGGCGAGACAGUGAAGAAAGCCAAGGCAAGUGCUGCUCAGCUGAGGAAGGAAGCCCAGAAGGAGAGCAAAAAGAAGUGAGAAGGGCUUGAGCGAGAAGGCCCACAGGAUACUGGAAUCAGCUGGAAUGCUUCCUCGGCGAUGGCACCAAAGGCAGCGGACUGAGUCAGCGUCCGGUUUUCUGGCAUGACCGUGCUUUCCCUGUCACGGGCAGUGCAGUGGAACUGAGGCACCUGGAAGGGAAGGGCUUGUGCUGCAUUCCAAGCAAAGAGGGCUUGCCAGAGGCAGGUCUUCAUCUAUGGCAAGAGAUGGAGAGGCUGUGUUUCUUCAGGCUGUGUCUCUUCAGGGCCAGGGCCGGUCUAGUAUGAGAUUGAAGUACGGCUAGCCGGGCCUGGAGAGAGAGGAGCUGACAUAGCCACAGGGUCAGGCUUCUCCUCGUGUCUGCCUGGAGGCUGAAUGACUCAUUGCUAAGCAGAAACCCUGGACGCUGGGGUUUCAUUUUGGGCUGUGUUGAUAAAUACAAUCCAGAGCCUUUUGUUUUGAAUAAAAAUGAA